GAACCCAAACUGUCUUAUCACACCUGCCCUACAGCCUGAUGAGUGUAGCUGAGCCCAGAGGUCUGCCGUGCAUUCCUGCAGUGCUCAGUAAAUGUCACGGUGGGGGACAGCCAAAUGAUACUUGUGCGCAGCCAGCCACGGGGCUGGGGACACUAGCUGCAAGCCAACUGUGCAGUAGAAAUCUGCUCCAAGUUUGGUGCGGAAUUGUUGUCUGCCACCAUGACGUGAGAGAGAUGGGCUGCACUCUUCAACAUGAGCUUCUCAUUGCAGAGUAAAAGACAAGUCUACGCCAAGAGUGCCCUCUGCACCGAAGUGAAGAGGCUGGGGUAUGGGCUGAGGUGUCCUGACCACUGGGAAGCACUGCCUCAGAUCUUCUACAGAUACGUGGAAAAUCCCACCUCUGGAGUUAAGCAGGAUUCCCAGCCUUCGCUGGUGUUUCUUGACUUUCUCAUCAGGGUGUUCUCUUCAAGCUGUUGGCCAUGUGCAUGCCUGACAAGCUUCAGGCCAUCUGCCUUGCAGAAACUGGCUUGAAAGUAUGACCCAAGCCUUGUGUUAUAAACAUCAUCAAGCUAACUAAAAGAACUCCCAAACUGUUUUUUUCCAUAAUUUUCCAGAUUUUGAACACAAGGUGAUCAGUUUUAUAUAUAAUUUUUGAACUCUUGUAAUGCAGGAUCUAGUUUCAAAACACUGGAGAGGAUGGAAGCAGACUAGGGGAACCACAAGGAAACUGCACACUCAGAGAACCUCAUCCUCAAUGCAAAUUACAUUUCCCUGUCUCUCCUUUCAAUGAGAACACACAUGCCAUGUACGGUUUUCUGGAAGAAUGCUUGGGCACAGGGUUUAGACAGCUGUAAAUAUUCUCUUGUGUGAUGGCAGGAACUUGUAGAAAGGAAAAUGAACUGUCAGCUUGAGAACUGAAAGAACAAAGCCAUAAGAGCAUCAAAAAGGCCUGCUGAGUGUGGCACUACGUUAAAAGUGAGACUGCACUGGGGGAUGACUGCUGGUCCAAUGCUGCCUACUGCAGCUUUUGCAAAGAUCACGCAGGCCAGGA
rnacentral:lncRNA from 1 species